AUUGAACGCUGGCGGCAGGCCUCACACAUGAAAGUCGAACGAGUGGCGGAAGGGUGAGUAAUGUCUGGGAAACUGCCCGAUGGAGGGGGAUAACUACUGGAAACGGUGGCUAAUACCGCAUACCAUCGGAUGUGCCCAGAGGGGAUUAGCUAGUAGGUGGGGUAACGGCUCACCUAGGCGACGCUCCCUAGAUGGUCUGAGAGGAUGACCAGCCACCAGGGAACUGAGAAACGGUCCAGACUCUAACGUGAGGAAGAAGUGGGGAAUAUUGCACGAUGGGCGCAAGCCGGAUGCAGCCAUGCCGCGGGUAUGAAGAAGGCAUUCGGGUUGUAAAGUACUUUCAGCGAGGAGGCGUUACUCGCAGAAGAAGCACCGGCUAACUCCGUGCCAGCAGCCGCGGUAAUAC
rnacentral:rRNA from 1 species